rnacentral:lncRNA from 1 species
UCUCAAAGUAGGAAUUCUAAUGAAUUGAAUAGAAUUCGAUACAAAUAAGAUUAUACAAACAUAAAUGAGAGAGUUUUGAGAGAAGAAGAUAAUUGUUCAUUCAUUCAUUGAUCCUUUUCAAAAUGAGGCACAAUUGCUUUAAAUACAACCACAAAGUCUAAAAAGGUAAUUGACAUAAAUAAAACUAUUUAUUUAAAAUAAACU